rnacentral:rRNA from 1 species
AUUGAACGCUGGCGGCAUGCCUUACACAUGCAAGUCGAACGGCAGCACGGGUGCUUGCACCUGGUGGCGAGUGGCGAACGGGUGAGUAAUACAUCGGAACAUGUCCUGUAGUGGGGGAUAGCCCGGCGAAAGCCGGAUUAAUACCGCAUACGACCUACGGAUGAAAGCGGGGGACCUUCGGGCCUCGCGCUAUAGGGUUGGCCGAUGGCUGAUUAGCUAGUUGGUGGGGUAAAGGCCUACCAAGGCGACGAUCAGUAGCUGGUCUGAGAGGACGACCAGCCACACUGGGACUGAGACACGGCCCAGACUCCUACGGGAGGCAGCAGUGGGGAAUUUUGGACAAUGGGCGAAAGCCUGAUCCAGCAAUGCCGCGUGUGUGAAGAAGGCCUUCGGGUUGUAAAGCACUUUUGUCCGGAAAGAAAUCCUUGGCUCUAAUACAGUCGGGGGAUGACGGUACCGGAAGAAUAAGCACCGGCUAACUACGUG